rnacentral:rRNA from 1 species
GCUUCGCUGACGAGUGGCGGACGGGUGAGUAAUGUCUGGGAAACUGCCUGAUGGAGGGGGAUAACUACUGGAAACGGUGGCUAAUACCGCAUAACGUCGCAAGACCAAAGAGGGGGACCUUCGGGCCUCUUGCCAUCAGAUGUGCCCAGAUGGGAUUAGCUUGUUGGUGAGGUAACGGCUCACCAAGGCGACGAUCCCUAGCUGGUCUGAGAGGAUGACCAGCCACACUGGAACUGAGACACGGUCCAGACUCCUACGGGAGGCAGCAGUGGGGAAUAUUGCACAAUGGGCGCAAGCCUGAUGCAGCCAUGCCGCGUGUAUGAAGAAGGCCUUCGGGUUGUAAAGUACUUUCAGCGGGGAGG